CAGUCGCCGCGGUAAUACGUAGGUGGCAAGCGUUGUCCGGAAUUAUUGGGCGUAAAGGGCUCGCAGGCGGUUUCUUAAGUCUGACGUGAAAGCCCCCGGCUCAACCGGGGAGGGUCAUUGGAAACUGGGAAACUUGAGUGCAGAAGAGGAGAGUGGAAUUCCACGUGUAGCGGUGAAAUGCGUAGAGAUGUGGAGGAACACCAGUGGCGAAGGCGACUCUCUGGUCUGUAACUGACGCUGAGGAACGAAAGCGUGGGGAGCGAACAGGAUUAGAUACCCCUGUAGUCCCUGUCUCUUAUAC
rnacentral:rRNA from 1 species